CGAACGGGUGAGUAAUACAUCGGAACGUGCCCAGUCGUGGGGGAGUAACUACUCGAAAGAGUAGCUAAUACCGCAUACGAUCUGAGGAUGAAAGCGGGGGACCUUCGGGCCUCGCGCGAUUGGAGCGGCCGAUGGCAGAUUAGGUAGUUGGUGGGAUAAAAGCUUACCAAGCCGACGAUCUGUAGCUGGUCUGAGAGGACGACCAGCCACACUGGGACUGAGACACGGCCCAGACUCCUACGGGAGGCAGCAGCC
rnacentral:rRNA from 1 species